rnacentral:rRNA from 1 species
UUACCAGCUCUUGACAUGCCUAUGAAUGUUAGUGGAGACACCUUCAGCCUUUCGGAGCGUGGGACACAGGUGCUGCAUGGCUGUCGUCAGCUCGUGUCGUGAGAUGUUGGGUUAAGUCCCGCAACGAGCGCAACCCUCGCCUUUAGUUGCCAUCAUUUAGUUGGGCACUCUAAAGGGACUGCCAGUGAUAAGCUGGAGGAAGGUGGGGAUGACGUCAAGUCCUCAUGGCCCUUACGGGCUGGGCUACACACGUGCUACAAUGGUGGUGACAGUGGGCAGCGAGACCGCGAGGUCGAGCUAAUCUCCAAAAGCCAUCUCAGUUCGGAUUGCACUCUGCAACUCGAGUGCAUGAAGUUGGAAUCGCUAGUAAUCGCGGAUCAGAAUGCCGCGGUGAAUACGUUCCCGGGCCUUGUACACACCGCCCGUCACACCAUGGGAGUUGGUUUUACCCGAAGGCGCUGUGCUAACCGCAAGGAGGCAGGCGACCACGGUAGGGUCAGCGACUGGGGUGAAGUCGUAACAAGGUAGCCGUAGGGGAACCUGCGGCUGGAUCACCUCCUUA